CCUACGGGAGGCAGCAGUGAGGAAUAUUGGUCAAUGGUCGGGAGACUGAACCAGCCAAGCCGCGUGAGGGAUGAAGGUACAGAGUAUCGUAAACCUCUUUUGUCAGGGAACAAAGGCGGGGACGUGUCCCCGGAUGAGUGUACCUGAAGAAAAAGCAUCGGCUAACUCCGUGCCAGCAGCCGCGGUAAUACGGAGGAUGCGAGCGUUAUCCGGAUUUAUUGGGUUUAAAGGGUGCGCAGUGGGUCUGUUAAGUCAGCGGUCAAAGCCCGGGGCUCAACCCCGGCCUGCCGUUGAAACUGGCAGUCUUGAGUUGGAGAGAGGUAUGCGGAAUGCGCGGUGUAGCGGUGAAAUGCAUAGAUAUCGCGCAGAACUCCGAUUGCGAAGGCGGCAUGCCGGCUCCACACUGACGCUGAGGCACGAAAGCGUGGGUAUCGAACAGGAUUAGAUACCCCUGUAGUC
rnacentral:rRNA from 1 species